UUAGACACGACAUGUAUUUUGUUUUUCGAUUCGCGGGGAUUCUCUUCGACGCUCGUAAUGCGUCAGUAAUGCUCUGGAAUCAAUAGAGCGCCUUCUUGUGCAUCAUCAACAGUUGAAACCCAUAUGCCUCAAGGGCUGCAAAGUGGAACACAGGGUAUAGGAAUCUCUCUCCCAACCUCACUCUCUCUCUCUCUCUCUCUGAAUGGAUGGGAGAGUCUGUUGUGGUGUCUUGCUGUCUGGUUGCGUCGUAGCACACAUCUCGAUGAAUGCAUUCCUGGGCGUGGGCGUGGUUCUUCGUUUUAUUUGCCAUCUCCUAUCCGCGCACCUCAGACGCCCCCGCUGUACCAACGAAAUACCGCUCCUCUCAUGGUUGAUAGCCGAAUGAUUUGACCUAUGUAUGCCCCCUCCUUGCUGCUACUGCUGCCACUGCCUCUGCUUCUGCCAGUGCCUCUGCUGCUUCCACUGCCACUGCCACUGCCACUGUGCUGCCUGCAGUCACUGCCUCUGUUGGCGCUUCCGCUGCACAAUUUUCUGCGCGUCUGCACUGCUUCUAUUCGGCGGCAGUGUUUGUUCUGCCUUCUUGAACUGCUUUGAUUGCACGGAUUCUCUUAUCUCUAGCACAAACCACUGCUUGCUGAACACAGCCUGAACUGCUGCCAAAAAGCAGCAUCAUCAACAGCUCUGAUUGGUUUUGGCCACUUUUUUCAUGGCUCAACAGACGACUGGCCAUCCACAAAUCACACAUGCACAUAUCUGCAGCUGCAGGAGGAGUGAUGGCCCAGGAUUCAUGCAGAAAUUAUCUGGCGGACAGAGGAAUACUGAAUGCAGAAAUAUUUCUACAUCGAAGAGCAAGCCCCCCCAAUAAAAACUGGGGGAAAUCUUAACCUGUCUCCCAAUGAAACCUGUCUGAAUCGUGAAUGAGAGUGUCCUGAGUUGUGGGGACUUCUCCCAUGACACGCCCGACAAACAACCGGGGACUUUUACAUGGGAACAUACGGAAUUCUGCGUAUCUUUCAUCGGUUGUAAGACACUUGUUUAGACACCUCUAGUAUGUAGUGCCAUUCGAUGUUCGAAUGACUCUUCAGACAUACCAUAGUAUUGUAUCUUUUUCCGAUAUACACCUAAUUUUGUUUUUACAUGGUCUUUUUUUACACGGUUUUGAAAUAACACGGUUAGAAAAUCGAAGUUUUUACACGGUUUUAUUCCAUUUAACACGGUUUAAAAUAACAACACAAAUAUAUAAAAACACACACAGCUCACAAACAGCUAGAAACCAAACGAAAACAAGAAAGAGCAUAAAGAGAAUAUGUACAUAUUGGUUUCUCUUUCGGUUUUUGUGCGUUUUCGAUCACUGUCUUUUUUUACACGGUUUUAUACGGUGUAUAUAUUUCAUUGUUUCAUUGUAACAAACACUGGGAUCACUUGUAACGAAUGUAUGCCGUUCACUUAUGCGAAAUUUGUGCAGAGAACUAGGAGUCUUUGAUCUAUUUCCUAUAUGCAUCACCAUCCCUGUUCCUUACAUUUGUACAUGCAUAGAUCUCUGUAUUCUUGGUAGAAAUAGUUCCUUUUUUUAUCCUAUUUAAUGCCAACUUUUAUGCUCUUGUAUUCUGAUAGCAAUCAUGCUCCUCUCUUGCUCAAAUUUCCUCUAAUGUGCAUUCUUUCGAGCACUUAUUCAAUUAUUCGGAAAUGCUCAAUCAAAAUUACAAUACCAAUUUGUGGCUAAACAUUUGUCAAGGCCAAAUGAGAGGCCGGAUGUCACGUUGAAAUUUAACACUUUCCAGCCAGAGAUCCAAUGCCACACAUCCUGCUUGGAACUGAGCUCAAAACUCAAUGGCCAUUGGCUGGAUAAUGAUGAUUAUCCAUUAAUUAGCCCCAAUAUUUAUUCAAUUCAUUUCUGUUGUUUUUUGGAAAUUGGAUAAUCAAGUAAUCCCUGUUAAAUAUUUCAAAGCACAACACUUCUCUGUCUCAGUCUCACAACACUUCAUAUACAAAUUACGAAUAAUAGUUCUUACAAAUAAUUAGCCAAAAAGCCACCA